UCAUGGCUCAGGACGAACGCUGGCGGCGUGCCUAAUACAUGCAAGUCGAGCGAAUCGAUGGGAGCUUGCUCCCUGAGAUUAGCGGCGGACGGGUGAGUAACACGUGGGCAACCUGCCUAUAAGACUGGGAUAACUUCGGGAAACCGGAGCUAAUACCGGAUAUGUUCUUUUCUCGCAUGAGAGAAGAUGGAAAGACGGUUUCGGCUGUCACUUAUAGAUGGGCCCGCGGCGCAUUAGCUAGUUGGUGAGGUAAUGGCUCACCAAGGCGACGAUGCGUAGCCGACCUGAGAGGGUGAUCGGCCACACUGGGACUGAGACACGGCCCAGACUCCUACGGGAGGCAGCAGUAGGGAAUCUUCCGCAAUGGACGAAAGUCUGACGGAGCAACGCCGCGUGAACGAAGAAGGCCUUCGGGUCGUAAAGUUCUGUUGUUAGGGAAGAACAAGUACCAGAGUAACUGCUGGUACCUUGACGGUACCUAACCAGAAAGCCACGGCUAACUACGUGCCAGCAGCCGCGGUAAUACGUAGGUGGCAAGCGUUGUCCGGAAUUAUUGGGCGUAAAGCGCGCGCAGGUGGUUCUUUAAGUCUGAUGUGAAAGCCCACGGCUCAACCGUGGAGGGUCAUUGGAAACUGGGGAACUUGAGUGCAGAAGAGGAAAGUGGAAUUCCAAGUGUAGCGGUGAAAUGCGUAGAGAUUUGGAGGAACACCAGUGGCGAAGGCGACUUUCUGGUCUGUAACUGACACUGAGGCGCGAAAGCGUGGGGAGCAAACAGGAUUAGAUACCCUGGUAGUCCACGCCGUAAACGAUGAGUGCUAAGUGUUAGAGGGUUUCCGCCCUUUAGUGCUGCAGCUAACGCAUUAA
rnacentral:rRNA from 1 species